rnacentral:lncRNA from 1 species
UCAAUUCCAACAUGUUAUUUCAUCAAAACCUCAAAGUUACAUUCACCUAUUCACAUACAUUUUACAAUUCCAAUCCAAAACUAUAAGAAUUCCAAACUUACAUAAUAUUUACAAUUUCAUAAACCAACAACCCAUUUCCAUAUACAAAUCCAAACAUUCCAUUCAAAUUCAAGGCUCAAGUACAUAAUCAUGUCAAUACCUUACACAUGAAUCAAAUUCAAAAA